AUUAUGUAGUCAGAAUUUUCAGGUGUUUAUUUAUUUAUUUUAUUUUUAUAAAUACUCCAUUAUGCACAGACUGCAAAGAUUAGCCAUUGGGUUUGUAUUAUUCCAUUACAUUUUAUUAUUUGUGCAUUCUUUCAUCAGUCAAUACAAGUUUGGAUGUUCCCAACACUUAAGUGUUUACAAUUAUUAUCAGGGGAUUGGAUGAAAAUUGCAUUAUGUUACUUUUAAGCUGGGCUUGAAGAAAUAUAAUUGCUAUUUGGGGGCCAUUUCCUCAGUACGAAUAGUAAGGUAGUCACAACUUGAUCUUGUCUUCUUUCUUGAACUAUUUAUUGCAAUUCAAUUCAAUAGUGCAUAUAUAGUGCAUCCAAAUUCAGCCUAUUCCUUUGAAUAAGUAUACAUAGGUAUCAAUUCCUUUCCAAACUCGUCUCCCGUUAAUCGCACUCUACAUUACGUCUGUUUUCUCUUCUUUUGUUUAUGAUGCUUCCUCUCUGUUGAUUUUAAACAGUGAUAUAUCAUCAUGUAGGUGUAGUUUAGUCCAUAUUUCAGAUGUAUUUUCUCCACUUUUGAGUUGUAAGGAAUUAUAUCAAACGCGAACAAGCAGAAUAGAUGCAACUAUGUAGGCUUUUGUUUCAAGUUAAAUGAGUACAUCAUUGAUUUUCAUCCCUAUACUAUAUGACAUUUAUUUUUCCCUUUUAUUUUUGGUGCCCUCCUUUGGGUUUGAUUUGUCAAUCUUUACUAUUUUUAUUUUUUAAAAAUUAAAGUUACGUGUCUUGAGAAAGAAAGAAAAAAGAAGAAGCAAUUCAUGAUUCCUUUCAGGUUCACACGACGAUUCAUGUCCCCUUCUUACUCUCCACUGUUUGAUAUUCCUUUAACAAUUUCCCUCUUGUCAACAGAUACAACAGAUAAGGGAUCCUAAAAAACAAAUCGAGAUGGUGGGUGUCCCUGAAGAAUAUCUGUUUGGCCAUGCCUUUCAUAUGUAUCAUCUCACAUCACCUGAGCAAACAGUUUCGUUUGAGUUUCAGCAUAAUGUUUGUGGCCGGUCAAUAUAUGUAGAGGGAACUGUUGAUGCUGCCAUUUUCCUUUUUGCAAAGGUUCAAUCCAAGGCGGAGAAACGAAUCUAUAAUAUGAUUGAUGUCUUGCAUGAGGGUAACAUGCGAUGAUUUUCAUUUUUUUCCUUCUAAAAAUAUUUCCCAAUUGUUGGAAAUUAUGUGGGAUGUUUGGAGCUUAGUUUUGGGAGAAGUAGAAUGACAUCAUCCAAUUUUAGACAGUGGAUAGAGAUCUGUUUUGGUACUUUAUGGGAGUGUGGAAUUUGUUUCUUCCAUGUGUGGCAGUUGCCAUUGGUGGAAGCAAGUUACCUGGAUGGCUAGAAUAGGCAGAAGCGAUGUGAUUGAUUUCUGAUUUGUCGGAGAUUGUAAGUGAAUCUGCUUCACCCAUUUUGGGUCUGCAAUGGGGUGUUUGCACUACCUUUUAUUUAAUUUAAAGGUUUGAUUGUAGGGAAGCUCCUUCACA